rnacentral:lncRNA from 1 species
AAAAAAGACAACCUGAAUCAGCCUAUAAUAAUGCCAAACUUGUGUCUUCAUUACGAGGAACAUGAGUGAUCCACUAUGUCCCGAAAUGAUAGGCAACUGUAAUAUUGAUGAAGAAACAUCGUUGGUGGCAGUAGAGGAGGGGCCGCAAGCAGGUGUAUUUUAAAAUUUUUUUUUUUAAUGAAAUCGAUAAAUUUGUGUCCGUAACAAUUUUUUUUAUAUUAGUAAUUGAUGAAUUUGCACAUUGUUGUUGUCCAUGUUCUUUCAUAUUCUUAGAAGAGGGACUACAUUGUUGAAUUUUUCGGAGCUUUCUUAUAGAUCUUAGCCUGCUAUAUAAGUCUGUCUUCUAGUAUUUAGGUAGUUCAUCGUAGCAUGCUAUAUAAGUUUGUGUCUCUUUAGCGUUACAGUACUACAUAUUUCUUUGCAGAUAAUAGAUUGAAUAAAAGGAAGUGGUAUGUGAUAAUUACAAAUGGACUGAUUUAGAUGAUGAUUUUCAUUAUGACAAGAAUGACAAAGAACAAAUUUUUGUUGGAUUAAAUUCAGAUCAUACUGUCAAUCUUUUGAGAUGUUAUGAGAAUAUUAUAAGCCCUAUCAAUGGAACAAAAUCAUAGCCUUGAGUUGUUGCUUCCCCGAUCAAACCAUCAGCAUGAUUUGUGCCUAAAAAGGGAAGAAAACAGAAGAAGAGACGUAGAUAGGAAGAAGAAGAUGUGAUAACCCAUCCUGGAUCCAAAGCAUAGUUGAAUAAGAGGGGUACCAUGGUGAAAUGGCUGGUGUAUGGUUCAAUGAACUUGAAAUUUUAUAUAUUGGUGUAUAGUUUAGUUUGGUUGGAGUCUCAUUUGUAACUUUUACUUCGUGGGCAAAUUAUAUACAACAUUACGCAUUUACUUCAUUUAAAGUAUAAUUUGUCAACUGGUUUGACUUUGUUUAUAGUAUUCACUUACAUCAUGAACUUCAUUCCUUGACAUGUUGAGUGGCGUGAUAAUUGGAAGUUAAGUAAUCAUCUAUACAAUUGAAUUUACAAUACUAGAAGUGUGAAAUUUUCUUAUAUUUUGCAUAUGGCAGGGUAGCUCAUGAUCCUAUGGGGAAUCAACGGUCCAUACAAAUAUGCUUCAUAAUUUUGCUUACCUUCCGAAGCCUAAAAUUGUUUAUGCUAUUGGUUUGUUCUACUGCUGAGUUCCCUUGCUAUGAAUCUCAUGUGCAACUUUCAUUUGUGACAUAUUCUACAGCUCACAGUGUUCAUGUUUAAGCGAUGUUUUUAAAGUUUGCCAACAAAUCAAGCAAAUAACCUAUUUUCAUAAAGGUUAUCAUUAACUGACUAUGCAGUAUCAGGUUUUCUCUUUCUUUCAGCAUCACAUAAACUGUAACAGGACUCUCCCUGUAUUGUUUAAACAAUUUGUAAAUCAGAAGGGAGAAAAUAUCGUAAGGUAAACCAAAAGGAACCCAUUUCAUUAAAAACAUCAAAACAUAUGGCUUCCUUUGAUGAUUGUACAAAAAUUGACAAUCACACAACACCAGAGCCGAUUUUGGACAGAGAGGCUCACCACCCAUGCCUCAGGCCCAACAAUUAAAGGGACCUCAAUAUUUUAUUUUUAUUUUUUUGAUACAUCGUUCCUAUUCAUCUAACAGUCUUCCUCUGUGCCGGUGCAUGCGAGAGGUAAAGAGCCAAGAAGGCAAAAGUCUAGUUCUCUCUCGACAGUCUAUCACCAUCCAUGCCACUGCCUGCAUGCCUACCGGUAUAAAAUUUGAUUUCUAUAUAUUCAAUAUUCGUUAUUCUCAUUUUUGACAUCAAUUUCUCAGAUGAAGUGGUGAUGUGAUCCGCAUAAGGCAGUUUCGGGAUAGAGUUUUCAGAAAUUUCGCAAGUUUCCUAUUUUGAUUAGAAGUCUAAUCUUUUCCAUAUUUAAGUUAUUUUGGACGUUCUUUCCCAAUUUUAAUUAGAUUCUAGGGUUUUAGUAUAAAUAGGGAUUACAUUUGUCAUUGUAUUCAUAACUUUUGACAUGAUGAAUUAAAAUAGAGAAUUUUCUCUCGGGAAGCUUGCUUCAAUUCUUG